rnacentral:rRNA from 1 species
UACAGAGGUCUCAAGCGUUGUUCGGAUUCAUUGGGCGUAAAGGGUGCGUAGGUGGCGCCGUAAGUCAGGUGUGAAAUUUCGGAGCUUAACUCCGAAACUGCAUUUGAUACUGCGGUGCGUUGAGGACUGGAGAGGAGAGACUGGAAGUUACGGUGUAGCAGUGAAAUGCGUAGAUAUCUGGAGGAACACCGGUGGCGAAGGCGGCAUCCUGGACCAACACUGACGCUGAGUGAGCGAAAGCCAGGGGAGCAAACGGG